GGCUGGUGGGGGCUGCAGUGUAGUGCCUGCCGAGCUGCUCGGUGCUCAGCCCCAGAGCAGGUGAGGGGCUAGUGGGGGCUGCAGUGUGGUGCCUGCUGGGGCUGUUGGGUGCUCAGCCCCGGAGCAGGUGAAGGGCUGGCGGGGGCUGCAGUGUGGUGCCCACUGAGCUGCUUGGUGCUCAGCCCCAGAGCAGGUGAGGGGCUGGUGGGGGCUGCAGUGUAGUGCCUGCCGAGCUGCUCGGUGCUCAGCCCCAGAGCAGGGAUAUGUGUGCUCAUCAAGGAGACCUGGUGACACAGCUGUUAAGCAUUCGGCUGCUAACCAAAAGGUUGGCAGUUGGAAACCACCAGCCACUCCUUGGAAAUCCUCUAGGGUCGUUCUACUCUGUUGUGCAGAGUUGCUAUGAGUCUGAAUCAGCUUGAGAGCAAUGUGUUAAGCCUAUUAAAGAAGAUACGUUAAAAGAGAAAUGAAAAAA